UUGAAGAAUAGAAGCAGAAGAAAAUGGAGAAAAAGCACAAGGUUCUAACCGUUGCACCGUUUGAAUGUGCGUGGCGUGAUGAUCUAUGAUUCAAGGAAGCAGGACGAGGUUGCGUUGCAUUUGAAGCGUUUGCACACAGCAGAGUUGGUAACAAAUUAAACCAGUUUGGGUCGUCGCGAACACUUUUACAUAGACCUACUAAGGGAGACAUACGAACUCGAACAUGUAUAAACCAUCUAAUGAUGGUUAAAGUUGCCCAAGGUGCAGGAUUGUUGCAGGAUUCUAUCAUGAAAAUGCAAAGAGGAGCUGUUAAACCAAUAGCUGUGUUAGCACGACACCCAAACAGACCAACUUUUCUUGAUCAUGCAGUCAACAUUACUUAUAAGGCAAGGUUUUCUUUUAUAUUUUUUGCAAAUUUCUGCUAUAAAAACUUGCAAGUAUUAAGUACAUGCGAAAUACCCUUACUGAAAUUUUUAAUUUACAUUUGUUGAUCUUUGUGGGUCAUGCUUUUAAUGCAGUCAAAUGCAUCAUGUGACAGGUUAUGUAUGAUGCAACUGGUGUGCGAUUGGUAGCUGGACGCCAAGUCGACGACUGUUAUUUCUCGGGUGUGAUCUAUAGUAUGAUGGCAGUGGUUGUUGGAGGAGUCUAAAAGCAAAGAUCAAAGCCGCACAUUCUUAUGCAUUCCCAGAUUCUUCAACGUUGGUAGCACUGGAUGAGCGACCAAAUCUAGAAGUACAUGGUUGAAAAGAGGUGAACAGCUGGGUUGAAAAGAGGGAAUAGUGGUCAACAGUGGUCAGAAAGGUGAAAAGAGGGAACAGCUGUCCGAACUCAGCUUGGUUGAAAAGAGGGAACAAUGGUCAACAGUGGUCAGAAGGUUGAAAAGAGGUGAACAGUGGUCAGAAUUCAGCAGUAUGCUGAAAAGAGGUGAACAGAGUAGAGGAGAUGAUACAAGAAAGUCAUAAGCGAACGGAUGUAUUGGUAAAACAGGAAGAGAUACAAGAGACUCCCCACACUUUUGUUUUUAUUGUUUUGUCCAGCUACUUGACUGUUUUGAACUCUUCUUGUUUUUAAUUACAUCUACUUCCUUGUUUUGUACUCUUCUUGUAGAAGAUCACCAAAGAAUCGAUAA
rnacentral:lncRNA from 1 species